CGGGACGGGGUGGAGUAAUGUCUGGGAAACGGCCCGAUGGAGGGGGAUAACUACUGGAAACGGUAGCUAAUACCGCAUAACGUCGCAAGACCAAAGAGGGGGACCUUCGGGCCUCUUGCCAUCGGAUGUGCCCAGAUGGGAUUAGCUAGUAGGUGGGGUAACGGCUCACCUAGGCGACGAUCCCUAGCUGGUCUGAGAGGAUGACCAGCCACACUGGAACUGAGACACGGUCCAG
rnacentral:rRNA from 1 species